GACGAACGCUGGCGGCGUGCUUAACACAUGCAAGUCGAACGGAAAGGCCCUGCUUUUGUGGGGUGCUCGAAUGGCGAACGGGUGAGUAACGCGUGAGUAACCUGCCCUUGACUUUGGGAUAACUUCAGGAAACUGGGGCUAAUACCGGAUAGCAGCUCCUGCUGAGUGGUGGGGACUGGAAAGAUUCGGCGGUUGGGGAUGGACUCGCGGCGUAUCAGGUUGUUGGUGGGGUAGUGGCUUACCAAGGCUUUGACGGGUAGCCGGCCUGAGAGGGUGACCGGCCACAGUGGGACUGAGAUACGGCCCAGACUCCUACGGGAGGCAGCAGUGGGGAAUAUUGCACAAUGGGCGGAAGCCUGAUGCAGCAACGCCGCGUGCGGGAUGACGGCCUUCGGGUUGUAAACCGCUUUCGCCUGUGACGAAGCGUGAGUGACGGUAAUGGGUAAAGAAGCACCGGCUAACUACGUG
rnacentral:rRNA from 1 species